rnacentral:lncRNA from 1 species
AUGGAGGGAAGACGACUUCUUCCCACAAGAAGGUUCCCUUCUACUCGAGUGGACUGGAGCCCUGAGCUUAUUCCUCAAGGAAAUUUUCUCUCUGGAAGAAAUCCAAUCCUAUCAGACUCAGACAAAAGCCCUGUCACUGGGGUUGUGGGAAAAAGAAAAACCGUACACGGCAGCCCUAACUCUUGCAGAGAGAAUAUGUUAAAUCAUAAAGCAAGAUCAUAUAUGAUCGCAUCUCAAAGUGUGCAAAACAGCAGUAGUGAGGGGGUGGAUUCAGAGGAAGAAGGAGGAAGUACCGACGGGGGAGGCAGGAAAAGAAAUGCCAUCCUGGAUCAGAGCUGUGAACGUCAAAGGAGAGGGGUGAUCCUCACCUCUGGAGAUGAGAGACUGGAAGAGAAUGCCUGUGAAGGUUUUCAGAGGUCAAACAACCUCAGAUCCAGAUGUACUAUGAAUGCAACUAUAAUAGUUUCAGAGCAAUUAUCUCCAUCCAGCUCUGUAGGGCAGAACAACUCGAACUCUGGAGCCCAGCUGGUGAGAAAUCCUUUUAUACAUAGCCCUCUCAGAAUCAGUCCAAACUGAAUUCAAGAUUAGUUUCAGCAGAGAAUCUACUUAGCUGUGGCUAGUGGCCUAGGUAGCUGUUGCCUCUGCAGGCAUCUAAGCAGCCCUGAGAACAGCUGAGUGCCCCAGGUCAUACCUGAAACUCUCUGCCCAUUAACCAAGGCCAGCGUAAGCUCAUGUUCAACACCA